AUCAGUUCUCUGCAAAAUGGAACAAUCAGUUCUCUGCAAAAUGGAACAAUCAGCUCUCUGUAAAAUGGACCAAUCAGCAGGAUGUGGGUGGGGCCAGAUAAGGGAAUAAAACCAGGGCACUUGAGCCAGCAGCAGCAACCUGCUCAGGUGCCCUUCCACCUUGUUCUUCUGCUCUUUGCAAUAAAUUUUACUGCUGCUCAUUCUUUGGGUCCGCACUGCCUUUAUGAGGUAUAACACCGUGAAGGUUGGCAGCCUCACUUCUAAAGCCAGCGAGACCACAAACCCACCAGGAGGGACAAACAACUCUGGACGUGCCACUUUAUGAACUGUAACAGUCAGUGCAAAGGUCUGCAGCUUCACUCCUGAGGCUAGCGAGACCAGGAACCCACCAGAAGGGACAAACAACUCCAGACGCCUCACCUUAAAAGCUGUAACACUUACAGUGAAGCUCUGCAGCUUCACUCAAACCCAGCGAGACCACGAACCCACCAGAAGGAAGAAACUCCGAACACGUCCGAACAUCACAAGGAACAAACUCCAGAUACCAUCUUUAAGAACUGUAACACUCACUGCAAGUUAAAAGAAGAAAACUGUACUGAAGAAAGUAACCAAUAGUCCAUUAGUAAAUCGGGUGAUAAAAUGUUUGAAGUGAAGAACCAAAGUUGGCCUGGAAAUAAAUAUACAUUUUUAAAUACAGAACUUGACAUUGUAAUGUGCUCCUGUGAAUUAUUGGU
rnacentral:lncRNA from 1 species